rnacentral:misc_RNA from 1 species
AACGCAAUUGCGCCCUCUCGGUCGCUUCCAAUUGGGGGUUGACUCAUAGGGGGUACAUCUGUUUGAGGGUCAUUUGUACCUUCUCAAAGGAUUUUUUUUAAAUAAAAAGAACCUUUGGAUGUGGGUCUUGCUGUGAUCAUCUCUCAGCUGACCUUGAAAGCAUUAGCAAGCUUUUUCUGAGUCUUUUCUAGAUGAGGCGUUCUAACAUUUGACGUCUUCACAAUAAAAAGAACCAGAGUGCUUAAGCCUGCUUCUAAUCAUACGGCCAUUAUUUUUCAAUGACCUCAAAUCAGAUGAGACUACCCGCUGAACUUAA